GUGAGGAAUAUUGCGCAAUGGAGGCAACUCUGACGCAGCCAUGCCGCGUGCAGGAAGAAGGCGCUACGCGUUGUAUACUGCUUUUAACCGGGAAGAAACCCCAGGACGUGUCCUGGGUUGACGGUACCGGAGGAAUAAGCACCGGCUAACUUCGUGCCAGCAGCCGCGGUAAUACGAAGGGUGCAAGCGUUAUCCGGAUUCAUUGGGUUUAAAGGGUGCGUAGGCGGAGCGUUAAGUCAGUGGUGAAAUCCUGCAGCUUAACUGUAGACUUGCCAUUGAUACUGGCGCUCUUGAGUGCGCUUGAAGUGGGCGGAAUGUGCCGUGUAGCGGUGAAAUGCUUAGAUAUGGCACAGAACACCAAUUGCGAAGGCAGCUCACUAAGGCGAUACUGACGCUGAGGCACGAAAGCGUGGGGAUCGAACAGGAUUAGAAACCCCGGUAGUCC
rnacentral:rRNA from 1 species